AAGUAAUAUAUAUUCUAAGGAAUAUACAUUAUCAACCCACCUGUGAAUCAUACCUGUUGCUUUCGUAGAGCAGCGACUCCUGUCGCCUCUGAUGAUGAUAUCAGUCAUCUGAUGAGAGUCUCUACGGGAGGUCCACUUUAAACAAUUGUAUUCUUAUGACCUCAGUCUGACCUGUACACAUUAAGUUUAAAACUUUCAACAACGGAUCUCUUGGUUCUCGCAUCGAUGAAGAACGCAGCGAAAUGCGAUAAGUAGUGUGAAUUGCAGAAUUCAGUGAAUCAUCGAAUCUUUGAACGCACAUUGCGCCCUCCGGCAUUCCGGGGGGCAUGCCUGUUCGAGCGUCAUUAAAACCACUCAAGCUCUUUUGCUUGGUACUGGAAGAGGAGUUCCUUCAGUUCUCCUUUCUGAAAUGCAAUGGCGGAGAGUUACAUGUUCCCUAGCGUAGUAAGCAUAACUUUCGCUUGGAACGUGUGACUCUGUUGCCCUCAAUCCCCAUUCUUUAGGUUGACCUCGGAUCAGGUAGGGAUACCCGCUGAACUUAAGCAUAUCAAUAAGCGGAGGAAAAGAAACCAACAGGGAUUGCCUUAGUAACUGCGAGUGAAGCGGCAAAAGCUCAAAUUUGAAAUCUGAUACCUUUGGUGUCCGAGUUGUAAUUUGGAGGGAUAUCUUCGGAGUCGGCACCGUCCUAAGUUUCUUGGAACAGGACGUCACAGAGGGUGAGAAUCCCGUGCCUGGGCGGAUGUCCGAUUCCAUGUGAAGUGUCUCCGACGAGUCGAGUUGUUUGGGAAUGCAGCUCAAAAUGGGUGGUAAAUUUCAUCUAAAGCUAAAUAUUGGCGAGAGACCGAUAGCGCACAAGUAGAGUGAUCGAAAGAUGAAAAGCACUUUGAAAAGAGAGUUAAAAAGUACGUGAAAUUGUUGAAAGGGAAGCGCUUGCGACCAGACUCGAUCUUUGGUGAUCAGCCGGGCUUCGGUUCGGUGCACUUGCCAUUGAUUGGGCCAGCAUCGGUUCUGACGGUGGGAUAAAAGGCAGAGGAAUGUGGCUUCCCUCGGGGAGUGUUAUAGCCUCAGUCACAAUGCUACCAGUCGGGACCGAGGACCGCG
rnacentral:rRNA from 1 species